CACGGCUUGCUUCAGUAUGGAAUGUCAGGAAAACGUCAGAGAGAUUGUCCCGUUUCAGCAAUUUUGUUAAAAUGCUAAGAAUCGGGAGAUGACUGCAUGAUCACAUUGCUGGCUGUGAGAAGGGAUGAGAUUCUAUUAAGAGAGGAGGAAAGCAAUGUUACUCAUUCCCAUUGCGCAGAAUGAGGAAUUCUCAAAAGAGAAAUGGACACAAAAGUACCUCCUGCGAGAGAUGCCAAGUUCUGGACACAGGCAAAAUAAAGGAAGACUUUGUUAGAGAGAGCAGAUGGCAAGCAAGAGGAAUGGCCAACAUCUGGGCAGUGAGAGACCCAUGAGGGAAGAGGGCAAAUGAGAAAAGAAGAAUAACACAUAAACCUAGUAGUAGUGAUGGAGACCACUGUGGAGCAGACCUGAGUGCUGGGAGCCGCUAAAGCUGGAAAAUAAUUACACGUGCGGAUGAAGCCAGCCUGAGAACACAAAGCGCGUAAACAAGCAGUUGUAACUUGUUAACUGAUUGCUGGGCAGCAAGGCGGAAAUUAACCAACUUCUAGGGAGUAUAAAUAAGCACCCCUACUGUUGAAGUCAGUCCUCUUGCUUAUCAGGCAAGAGGUAACUCCACCUGACCCUGGCUAUUGUCUGUUGUCUUUAUUUUCUAAAUCCUCUCGCCGUUUUCUCCCAGGGACCACAGAGAGACCACCGGGUCCCACACCCGAGCAGGACUUAAGUUAACCAAUUGGCUUUUCAUGUUCACUCGUGAAUCUGUCCAAGGCCUAGGCUCCUUGUCUGGAGAUGGUGGGCUCAUAGUAAGUGAACCUCUGUGAGUCACUAAUCCCUACUAAAUCCUGUAGUGGUGGAUGAAGCCAGAGAGCCUCAAAGGACAAGACAAGAUCACAGCCAAGGACACCUGGAUCAAAUCUCAACUUUAU
rnacentral:lncRNA from 1 species